UUACAAUAAGACAGACAGUAAUGUGUAGC
rnacentral:piRNA from 1 species